ensembl:lncRNA
AGAGAACGAACAGACAUUCGUAACUCUGGAGUUGCACUUGACUGCAUCAUUAGAGACGCUCACACGUCCCGAUGAACUUGGGGUUUGAAUUUGCUUUAUUUGUAGAGAAUUGAACUUGUUUGUGCUUUGAGUUGCCUGACAUCAUUUUUUAGAAGCAUUCAUGUUUUAAUCAAAAUGUUCCAUAUCGGAAACAUGUUCAUUGAUUAAACAUUCUCUUUUUAUUCCGCCUGAUGUCUGAUUACAGGAGGAAGUGAGUCAACAAUUGAAAUCAGGCUUAAAAUGUCGACUGAAACCUUUGUGUGUCAUUAAAUACACAAACGCUCAUUAACUCAAGAUCAUUGUUGUUGACAAUCAAGUCAACGAGUAAUAAAGGACAUGUGAUUCUCUUUGGUCUGAAGAAAACAAGACGGAUUCAUUUGGUUUUAUUUUUAUUAAAAUGUAUUUUCAUUGUUAAAAUAAUAAACAGACGACAUAUUUAACAAUAAUAAUAACACAAUCAUUGGGAAAACAUCUGAAGCAGUUCCUGAGAAGAGAGAAAAGAAGAAAAGUUAUUAACAUGUUAAUGUUGUUAGUGUGUCUGUGUGUACAUCUAAUUGUUAGUGUGUCUGUGUGUACAUCUAAAUGUUAGUGUGUCUGUGUGUACAUUUAAAUAUUAAUGUGUCUUUGUGCAGAACCAGAUGUUUGUGUUUUUGUGUACUUCUGAAUACUAAUGUGUCUGUGUGUACAUCUAAUUGUUAUUGUGUCUUUGUGUACAUCUAAAUAUUAGUGUGUGUCAUUGUUUAGAACCAAAUGAUAGUGUGUCUGUGUGUACAUCUAAUUGUUAGUGUGUCUGUGUGUAGAUCUAUCUGUUAGUGUGUCUGUGUGUACAUCUAAAUAUUAGUGUGUGUCAUUGUUUAGAACCAAAUGAUAGUGUGUCUGUGUGUACAUCUAAUUGUUAGUGUGUCUGUGUGUACAUCUAAUUGUUAGGCGUCCUGAUGGCGUCCCGAUGACGUGGUGUCCUGAUGGUGUCCCGAUGAUGUGGUGUCCUGAUGGCGUCCCGAUGGCGUGGCGUCCUGAUGGCGUCCUGUUGGUCUGCAGACAAGGAGAAGAGACAUGAGGAAGAUCAUCAGGAUGUCUCUGUGUGUACAUCUAAUUGUUAGUGUGUCUGUGUGUAAAUCAAAUUGUUAUUGUGUCUUUGUGUACAUCUAAAUGUUAGUGUGUGUCUUUGUUUAGAACCAAAUGUUAGUGUGUGUGUGUACAUCUAAUUGUUAGUGCGUCUGUGUGUACAUCUAAAUAUUAAUGUGUCUUUGUGUACAUCUAAAUGUUAGUGUGUCUUUGUUUAGAACCAAAUGUUAGUGUGUCUGUGUGUACAUCUAAUUGUUAGUGUGUCUGUGUGUAGAUCUAACUGUUAGUGUGUCUGUGUGUACAUCUAAUUGUUAUUGUGUCUUUGUGUACAUCUAAAUAUUAGUGUGUGUCAUUGUUUAGAACCAAAUGAUAGUGUGUCUGAGUUCAUCUGUGUGUGUGUGUGUGUCAUGAGUAGAUCUGGAUUUGCUCCUGAGGGGUUGACGCGGCGUCCUGAUGGCGUCCCGAUUCAGAUUUGUCCUGAGGGCGUCCCGAUGACGUGGCAUCCUGAUGGCGUCCCGAUGACGUGGUGUCCUGAUGGCGUCCCGAUGGCGUGGCGUCCUGAUGAAGUCCUGUUGGUCUGCAGACAAGAAGAAGAGACAUGAGGAGGAUAAUCAGGAUGUGUCUGUGUGUACAUCUAAUUGUUAUUGUGUCUUUGUGUACAUCUAAAUAUUAGUGUGUGUCUUUGUUUAGAACCAAAUGUUAGUGUGUCUGUGUGUACAUCUAAUUGUUAGUGUGUCUGUGUGUACAUCUAAAUAUUAAUGUGUCUUUGUGUACAUCUAAAUGUUAGUGUGUGUCUUUGUUUAGAACCAUAUGUUAGUGUGUCUGUGUGUACAUCUAAUUGUUAGUGUGUCUGUGUGUAGAUCUAAUUGUUAAAGUGUCUGUGUGUACAUCUAAAUAUUAAUGUGUCUUUGUGUACAUCUAAAUGUUAGUGUGUGUCUUUGUUUAGAACCUAAUGUUAACGUGUCUGUGAGUACAUCUGUGUGUGUGUGUGUCAUGAGUAGAUCUGGAAUUGCUCCUGAGGGGUUGACGCGGCGUCCUGAUGGCGUCCCGAUGACGUGGCGUCCCGAUGACGUGGUGUCCUGAUGGCGUCCCGAUGGCGUCCUGUUGGUCUGCAGACAAGGAGAAGAGACGUGAGGAGGAUCAUCAGGAUGUGUCUGUGUGUACAUAUAAUUGUUAGUGUGUCUGUGUGUAGAUCUAAUUGUUAGUGUGUCCGUGUGUACAUCUAAUUGUUAGUGAGUCUGUGUGUAGAUCUAAUUGUUAGUGUGUCUGUGUGUACAUCUAAUUGUUAGUGUGUCUGUGUGUGGAUCUAAUUGUUAGUGUGUCUGUGUGUACAUCUAAUUGUUAGUGUCUGUGUGUACAUCUAAAUGUUAGUGUGUCUGUGUGUACAUCUAAAUAUUAAUAUGUCUUUGUGUACAUCUAAAUAUUAGUGUGUGUCUUUGUGUACAUCUAAAUGUUAGUGUGUGCCUUUGUUUAGAACCAAAUGAUAGUGUAUCUGUGUGUACAUCUAAUUGUUAGUGUGUCUGUGUGUACAUCUAAAUAUUAAUGUGUCUUUGUGUACAUCUAAAUGUUAGUGUGUGUCUUUGUUUAGAACCAAAUGUUAGUGUGUCUGUGUGUACAUCUAAUUGUACAUCUAAAUUUGCCAGCGUGUCUAAAUGUUAGUGUGUCUCUGAGUACAUCUGUGUGUGUGUGCGUGUGUGUGGGGGUGUGUGUGUGUGUCAUGAGUAGAUCUGGAUUUGCUCCUGAGGGGUUGACGCGGCGUCCUGAUGGCGUCCUGAUGGAAUCCUUAUGGCGUCCCUAUGACGUGGCGUCCUGAUAGCGUCCUGAUGGUGUCCCGAUGACGUAGCGUCCCGAUGACGUGGCGUCCUGAUGGCGUCCUGUUGGUCUGCAGACAAGGAGAAGAGACAUCUGCAUUUGCUCCUGAGGGGUUGACGCGGCGUCCUGAUGGCGUCCCGAUGACGUGGUGUCCUGAUGGCGUCCCGAUGACGUGGCGUCCUGAUGGCGUCCUGUUGGUCUGCAGACAAGGAGAAGAGACAUGAGGAGGAUCAUCAGGAUGUGUCUAUCUGGAUUUGCUCCUGAGGGGUUGACGCGGCGUCCUGAUGGCGUCCUGAUGGAAUCCUGAUGACGUCCCGAUGGCGUGGCGUCCUGAUGGCGUCCUGUUGGUCUGCAGACAAGGAGAAGAGACAUCUGGAUUUGCUCCUGAGGGGUUGAUGUGACGUCCUGAUGGCGUCCCGUUGACGUGGCGUCCUGAUGGCGUCCCGUUGGUCUGCAGACAAGGAGAAGAGACGUGAGGAGGAUCAUCAGGAUGUGAGACAAGAUUCAUAGAUCCAAUUAUUUUAAUUUGAUGCACAUUUUAAUUAUUUCAUGUUUGUAUGGAUGUGUAAAUCUACAUUAUAUAUUUGUGGUUGUUAAACUGUAUUUCUGUAUUUGCUUUUUAUGUUUAGCUAGUCUCUGUGCAUACCAAUAUGUUAGUGCGUCUCUGUGUAAGUACUUUUUACAUUACAUUACAUUUCAUUUAGCUGACGCUUUUAUCCAAAGCGACUUACAAUAAGUGCAUUCAACCAUAGGGUACAAACUCAGAAGUGCAAUUUCCUCAAAUAACUUUUAUAUGUUAGUGCGUCUCUGUGUAAGUACUUUUAUAUGUUAAUGCGUCUCUGUGUACAUCUACAUGACAACAGCAGGAAUCAGAGGUUUAUCUCAAGGUAUUAGCUCUAAAUCACAGCCUUCUCCACCCGAUAGACCAAUACAUCAUUCACAGCAGUAAGGCUGCAGUCUGUCUGGAUUCCUCACUUACCUUGAGCUCUGUUGAGUGCAGCAGAACGCGUCUUCGUCCCCUCUACAGACUCCUGAGGCAUUACAUGGUUGCUUUCUGCAAGUGUAGGUCCGGAAAACUUCAGUGUGUAGAUGCGAGGUUUGAAACUGACUGACUGGAUGUGCAACAGACUGUGUUCUUAUGCUGUGGUGAACGGAGCACAGAACAUGGAACAUGGAACAUGGAGAAAUGUUCCAUCAUGAUGUAACGUCUCUAUGGUUACAGUGAAGGUAUCUACAAUAUGCAAAUGAGCCUUUAGAGUAAAUGUGUGUGUGUGGACGGU